GCCACAAUAGCUCAGUUGGUAGAGCAACGGUUUCGUAAACCGUAGGUCACCGGUUCAAGUCCGGUUUGUGGCUCCA
rnacentral:tRNA from 1 species